rnacentral:rRNA from 1 species
CACGUAGGGUGCGAGCGUUGUCCGGAAUUAUUGGGCGUAAAGAGCUCGUAGGCGGUUCGUCGCGUCGGCUGUGAAAACCCGAGGCUCAACCUCGGGCCUGCAGUCGAUACGGGCGGACUGGAGUUCGGCAGGGGAGACUGGAAUUCCUGGUGUAGCGGUGAAAUGCGCAGAUAUCAGGAGGAACACCGGUGGCGAAGGCGGGUCUCUGGGCCGAUACUGACGCUGAGGAGCGAAAGCGUGGGGAGCGAACAGG